UUAAGCGACUAAGCGUACACGGUGGAUGCCCUGGCAGUCAGAGGCGAUGAAGGACGUGCUAAUCUGCGAUAAGCGUCGGUAAGGUGAUAUGAACCGUUAUAACCGGCGAUUUCCGAAUGGGGAAACCCAGUGUGAUUCGUCACACUAUCAUUAACUGAAUCCAUAGGUUAAUGAGGCGAACCGGGGGAACUGAAACAUCUAAGUACCCCGAGGAAAAGAAAUCAACCGAGAUUCCCCCAGUAGCGGCGAGCGAACGGGGAGGAGCCCAGAGCCUGAAUCAGUGUGUGUGUUAGUGGAAGCGUCUGGAAAGGCGCGCGAUACAGGGUGACAGCCCCGUACACAAAAAUGCACAUGCUGUGAGCUCGAUGAGUAGGGCGGGACACGUGGUAUCCUGUCUGAAUAUGGGGGGACCAUCCUCCAAGGCUAAAUACUCCUGACUGACCGAUAGUGAACCAGUACCGUGAGGGAAAGGCGAAAAGAACCCCGGCGAGGGGAGUGAAAAAGAACCUGAAACCGUGUACGUACAAGCAGUGGGAGCCUCUUUAUGGGGUGACUGCGUACCUUUUGUAUAAUGGGUCAGCGACUUAUAUUCUGUAGCAAGGUUAACCGAAUAGGGGAGCCGAAGGGAAACCGAGUCUUAACUGGGCGUUAAGUUGCAGGGUAUAGACCCGAAACCCGGUGAUCUAGCCAUGGGCAGGUUGAAGGUUGGGUAACACUAACUGGAGGACCGAACCGACUAAUGUUGAAAAAUUAGCGGAUGACUUGUGGCUGGGGGUGAAAGGCCAAUCAAACCGGGAGAUAGCUGGUUCUCCCCGAAAGCUAUUUAGGUAGCGCCUCGUGAAUUCAUCUCCGGGGGUAGAGCACUGUUUCGGCAAGGGGGUCAUCCCGACUUACCAACCCGAUGCAAACUGCGAAUACCGGAGAAUGUUAUCACGGGAGACACACGGCGGGUGCUAACGUCCGUCGUGAAGAGGGAAACAACCCAGACCGCCAGCUAAGGUCCCAAAGUCAUGGUUAAGUGGGAAACGAUGUGGGAAGGCCCAGACAGCCAGGAUGUUGGCUUAGAAGCAGCCAUCAUUUAAAGAAAGCGUAAUAGCUCACUGGUCGAGUCGGCCUGCGCGGAAGAUGUAACGGGGCUAAACCAUGCACCGAAGCUGCGGCAGCGACACUAUGUGUUGUUGGGUAGGGGAGCGUUCUGUAAGCCUGUGAAGGUGUGCUGUGAGGCAUGCUGGAGGUAUCAGAAGUGCGAAUGCUGACAUAAGUAACGAUAAAGCGGGUGAAAAGCCCGCUCGCCGGAAGACCAAGGGUUCCUGUCCAACGUUAAUCGGGGCAGGGUGAGUCGACCCCUAAGGCGAGGCCGAAAGGCGUAGUCGAUGGGAAACAGGUUAAUAUUCCUGUACUUGGUGUUACUGCGAAGGGGGGACGGAGAAGGCUAUGUUGGCCGGGCGACGGUUGUCCCGGUUUAAGCGUGUAGGCUGGUUUUCCAGGCAAAUCCGGAAAAUCAAGGCUGAGGCGUGAUGACGAGGCACUACGGUGCUGAAGCAACAAAUGCCCUGCUUCCAGGAAAAGCCUCUAAGCAUCAGGUAACAUCAAAUCGUACCCCAAACCGACACAGGUGGUCAGGUAGAGAAUACCAAGGCGCUUGAGAGAACUCGGGUGAAGGAACUAGGCAAAAUGGUGCCGUAACUUCGGGAGAAGGCACGCUGAUAUGUAGGUGAAGUCCCUCGCGGAUGGAGCUGAAAUCAGUCGAAGAUACCAGCUGGCUGCAACUGUUUAUUAAAAACACAGCACUGUGCAAACACGAAAGUGGACGUAUACGGUGUGACGCCUGCCCGGUGCCGGAAGGUUAAUUGAUGGGGUCAGCGCAAGCGAAGCUCUUGAUCGAAGCCCCGGUAAACGGCGGCCGUAACUAUAACGGUCCUAAGGUAGCGAAAUUCCUUGUCGGGUAAGUUCCGACCUGCACGAAUGGCGUAAUGAUGGCCAGGCUGUCUCCACCCGAGACUCAGUGAAAUUGAACUCGCUGUGAAGAUGCAGUGUACCCGCGGCAAGACGGAAAGACCCCGUGAACCUUUACUAUAGCUUGACACUGAACAUUGAGCCUUGAUGUGUAGGAUAGGUGGGAGGCUUUGAAGUGUGGACGCCAGUCUGCAUGGAGCCGACCUUGAAAUACCACCCUUUAAUGUUUGAUGUUCUAACGUUGACCCGUAAUCCGGGUUGCGGACAGUGUCUGGUGGGUAGUUUGACUGGGGCGGUCUCCUCCUAAAGAGUAACGGAGGAGCACGAAGGUUGGCUAAUCCUGGUCGGACAUCAGGAGGUUAGUGCAAUGGCAUAAGCCAGCUUGACUGCGAGCGUGACGGCGCGAGCAGGUGCGAAAGCAGGUCAUAGUGAUCCGGUGGUUCUGAAUGGAAGGGCCAUCGCUCAACGGAUAAAAGGUACUCCGGGGAUAACAGGCUGAUACCGCCCAAGAGUUCAUAUCGACGGCGGUGUUUGGCACCUCGAUGUCGGCUCAUCACAUCCUGGGGCUGAAGUAGGUCCCAAGGGUAUGGCUGUUCGCCAUUUAAAGUGGUACGCGAGCUGGGUUUAGAACGUCGUGAGACAGUUCGGUCCCUAUCUGCCGUGGGCGCUGGAGAACUGAGGGGGGCUGCUCCUAGUACGAGAGGACCGGAGUGGACGCAUCACUGGUGUUCGGGUUGUCAUGCCAAUGGCACUGCCCGGUAGCUAAAUGCGGAAGAGAUAAGUGCUGAAAGCAUCUAAGCACGAAACUUGCCCCGAGAUGAGUUCUCCCUGAC
rnacentral:rRNA from 1 species